rnacentral:lncRNA from 10 species
CUGAUUCCAACCAGUUGCAGGUUUCAAAUGUGCUUUCUGUGAGAAAGUCAAGAAGGUGCCACUCCCAGCCAAGGAUAAUCCUAAUCCCUGACUUCAGCUUCUUGCUAUCUACACCAUCUGUAAAGGUUACCUAUCCUUAGACAUGUUAGGAUCCUUCCUGAGGAUGGUAUAACUUCGCGGGAGCCCUCCCAGAAAGACUCCUGUGUUAUCUCCAAUAACAGUACUACCAUUCAGGAUGGCAGAGGAACCUAGAGAAGAGGAGAUGAGAAAUACACCUUCACCAGGAUACUCUAGUUUUACUAGCUCAGCAAAUAAUAAAAUCCUUCACCAGCCU